GUGCUUGCUUUGGCAGCAUGUAUAUUAAAAGUGGAACAAUACAGAGAAGAUUAGCAUGGCCCUUGUACAAGAAUGAGAGGCAAAUUAAUUUUUA
ensembl:snRNA U6 U6 spliceosomal RNA